rnacentral:rRNA from 1 species
UACAGAGGGGGCAAGCGUUGUCCGGAAUUACUGGGCGUACAGCGCGCGCAGGCGGUCGACUACGUGCCGUGUGACAGACGUCGGCUUAACCGACGUAGGCCAGGGUACACGGGUCGACUGGAGGCAGAGAGAGGGAUGUGGAAUACCCGGUGGAGCGGUGAAAUGCGUAGAUAUCGCUUGGAACGCCGAAGGCGAAAGCAGGCUGCUGGGCACGAUCUGACGCUGAGACACGAAAGCCAGGGGAGCAAACGGG